GGGGCUGUGGCUCAGUGCUGGAGCGCUCACCUAGCAAGUGUGAGGCACGGGGUUCGAUCCUCAGCACCA
rnacentral:tRNA from 1 species